GAUGAACGCUGGCGGCGCGCCUAACACAUGCAAGUCGAACGGCACCCCUCUCCGGAGGGAAGCGAGUGGCGAACGGCUGAGUAACACGUGGAGAACCUGCCCCCUCCCCCGGGAUAGCCGCCCGAAAGGACGGGUAAUACCGGAUACCCCGGGGUGCCGCAUGGCACCCCGGCUAAAGCCCCGACGGGAGGGGAUGGCUCCGCGGCCCAUCAGGUAGACGGCGGGGUGACGGCCCACCGUGCCGACAACGGGUAGCCGGGUUGAGAGACCGGCCGGCCAGAUUGGGACUGAGACACGGCCCAGACUCCUACGGGAGGCAGCAGUGGGGAAUCUUGCGCAAUGGGGGGAACCCUGACGCAGCGACGCCGCGUGCGGGACGGAGGCCUUCGGGUCGUAAACCGCUCUCAGGAGGGAAGAGUCAAGACUGUACCUGCAGAAGAAGCCCCGGCUAACUGCGUGCCAGCAGCCGCGGUAAUACGUAGGGGGCGAGCGUUAUCCGGAUUCAUUGGGCGUAAAGCGCGCGUAGGCGGCCCGGCAGGCCGGGGGUCGAAGCGGGGGGCUCAACCCCCCGAAGCCCCCGGAACCUCCGCGGCUUGGGUCCGGUAGGGGAGGGUGGUACACCCGGUGUAGCGGUGGAAUGCGCAGAUAUCGGGUGGAACACCGGUGGCGAAGGG
rnacentral:rRNA from 1 species